rnacentral:rRNA from 1 species
UGGGGAAUAUUGCACAAUGGGCGAAAGCCUGAUGCAGCGACGCCGCGUGAGGGAUGAAGGCCUUCGGGUUGUAAACCUCUUUCAGCAGGGACGAAGCGCAAGUGACGGUACCUGCAGAAGAAGCGCCGGCUAACUACGUGCCAGCAGCCGCGGUAAUACGUAGGGCGCAAGCGUUGUCCGGAAUUAUUGGGCGUAAAGAGCGCGUAGGCGGUUUGUCGCGUCUGGUGUGAAAACGCGAGGCUCAACCUCGAGCUUGCAUCGGGUACGGGCAGACUAGAGUGCGGUAGGGGAGACUGGAAUUCCGGGUGUAGCGGUGGAAUGCGCAGAUAUCAGGAGGAACACCGAUGGCGAGGGCAGGUCUCUGGGCCGCAACUGACGCUGAGGAGCGAAAGCAUGGGGAGCGAACA